GACCACAUAGUUUAAUGGUAAAACAAAAAUCUCCAAAAUUUUCGUCCUGUGUUCGAUUCACAGUGUGGUCA
rnacentral:tRNA from 1 species